rnacentral:rRNA from 1 species
UACGGAGGGUGCAAGCGUUGCUCGGAAUUAUUGGGCGUAAAGGGUAGGUAGGUGGUCUCAUUUGUCUCAUGUGAAAGCCUUGGGCUUAACCCAAGAAGUGCAUGAGAAACGGUGAGACUGGAGUACUGGAGAGGCUAGUGGAAUUCCCGGUGUAGCGGUGAAAUGCGUAGAGAUCGGGAGGAACACCAGAGGCGAAGGCGGCUAGCUGGACAGUCACUGACACUCAACUACGAAAGCGUGGGUAGCAAACAGG